rnacentral:rRNA from 1 species
AGCAUGUGCGCGAGUCAAUGGGAUAAACCUAAAGGCGAAAUGAAAGUGAAGGUCAGCCUUGGACCUAGGGAGGACGAGCAUCCGUUCUCGCCCUGCACUCCCGGGGCGUCUCGUUCUCAUCGCGAGAAGAGGCGCACCCAGAGCGUACACGCUGGGACCCGAAAGAUGGUGAACUAUGCCUGGUCAGGACGAAGUCAGGGGAAACCCUGAUGGAGGUCCGUAGCGAUUCUGACGUGCAAAUCGAUCGUCGGAACUGGGUAUAGGGGCGAAAGACUAAUCGAACCAUCUAGUAGCUGGUUCCCUCCGAAGUUUCCCUCAGGAUAGCUGGCGCUCGUCUCGAACGAGUCUCAUUCGGUAAAGCGAAUGAUUAGAGGCAUUGGGGUCGAAACGGCCUCAACCUAUUCUCAAACUUUAAAUGGGUGAGAUCUCCGGCUUGCUCGAACAUGAAGCCGCGAGUAUCGGAUCAGAGUGCCAAGUGGGCCACUUUUG